rnacentral:lncRNA from 1 species
UACUAGAAACAUGGAUGAGGGUUAUGGAUGAAAUUUCUCCGAAGUUUUAAAAGUUGGAGAGUUAAAGGCUGGCGUGGCAGUGACAGAAUCUUGCUGAAGACUAGAGUAAAACACUUGCAUUCAUGCAUUAUUGCAGAUUUUUAAGCUGAUGUAUCCAAGGUGACUGUGCUGGACACUAAUGAGGAAAAAGAUAUGACUGAAAUGGCAGGAGUACGUGCCUUCAGAGAAGCUGGACAACCCCACCCCCACUGCUUACACAGAAAGGAUGAAGGGACACAAGGAAGAACCCACAUUUUGAAAUCUUAGGCUGGAUUGAACUAAAAAUAGACCUGUGAUUCAAAUGUCUAUUACUGAGUUCUCUGCUUUUGCACUCUGGAAACCAGGUUGUUUCACUCCCCAUCAAAUCUACCUCCCUAAGGUGUUCAUUCCCACAGCUUGGAGACACAGCAAAGUAAAAACUGCUGAGAGUCUAAUGAGUGUGUGGUACCAUGCCGGGCCCUUUAUACCCAUGAUCUCAUCUGUGCUGCACAAUAACCUUGGGAUGCAUGUACAGAGGAGGAAACUGAGGCCCAGUUAGGUAAGAUGACUUGCCCAAGGUCAUUCAGCUACUAAGUGGCAAUACUGGGAAUUGAAUGAACUCAGGUCAGUCUGACUCCCGAACCCAUGCUCUUUCAAACAGAAAUCCUUGCUACAUUUCAAAGAGGCAGAGCUUCAUUUUAAGCUUAAUGAGUAAUGAAAGCAACAUUGCUCCCUAAUUUACCUUCUGGCUCUGGGAAGGACCCAGCAAGGCAGCCAUUUGAAUGAUUCAUUCCUGUGACUGACAAGGAGACUUCUCUUGGUUAUAGCUUCAGCAGCUGCUAAAUCUGCUACACACCACCCCACUUCACCCCCUCCAUUUGGCUCAGGUAGGUGGAAUUAUUUAUGUAAGAAUUUCAGUGGCCUCCUGCCUUAAGCAUGAUUAUCACAGACUUUUAAGUGAUAAAAAUGUCAUAAAUCAUAAUAAAGGACAAAAGGAAUCAGGGUCAGGGAAGGUAACAGGAAAGAAGAUAUUCUGAAAAGCAAAGAAGUAGGUACAGAUGCAACAGGGUAACUCUCAGCAUUUACAUAAACACUUUCCUAGCAAUUUAUUCAUCUGAUCCUCAUAAUACCCUGGUAGAUGUUAGUAUCUCCAUUUUACAGAUGAAGAAUGUGAGGGUUAGAUCUGAGGUCCAAGGUCAGACCGUGGGUAGGAUAAGAACCCAGGUCUCCUAAUUCUCGCUCAGUGCUUCCCAUAAGCCACUCACCCAAUAAAGUGAAGACAGAAAUCCAUGAGAACUAUCAGAGAAAGAACUCUGUAGUCUUGCCCCUCUGCAUGACAGGACCAGGGAGGGGAAAGUGGCUGCGACAGUAUCAGAGAGUAGUAGCACGGAGUCUGGAACUGUGGGCUCAGGAACAUUUUUCAAGUCCCACCUUAGAUAUAUACUACUACAUAAUUGUGUGACCCUAGGCAACUCAUUUAAUCUCUGCCCUGAUUUCCUCACUUGUAAAACAUAGCAAACAAUAGUACCCACUUCAUAUGGUGGUUGUGAUGACUAAAUAGAAAAAAAAAUACCAUACAUGAACAGUGCUUGGCGCCAAGGCAAACAAUCAGUAAGUGUUAGCUGUCACUGUUUUCAUCAUUAUCAUCAUGAACGUGCCCAACACACUGCUUGGCACAUGAGAAAUGUUAAGUGAAUGUUCAUUUCUUCUCCUUCCCCUUGCUCCUGUAUUUCCCAAGGCACCACACCCCCAUCUGUUAUCUGUAGACCUGUUAAGACGAGGUCUAGGGUUGAGGAAGAGCACACAGUGCUUCUUCCCAGGCAAUGUGACUGGGCUGGCCUUGUUUACUGGGGCAGUGAGCUGCUACACAAAGUCAUUAAUCAUACGUGGUGCUAUGUGCUUUCAGGUCACUCUGCAGAAAUGGACAACUCCAUCUGGUUUUUCCUCAGGGAGACAGAGCCUUCCCAUGUAUCCACGUAUGGAGUUCCUAUUGAGGACUCAACCUUUGCAAUAGCUUCUUGGAAUCUGGAAAGUCUACUAAGGUAAAAAUUGAUAACUGGAUCAUGCUAAGUUCUGGCAAGGAUGUGGAGCUAUAGAAAUCUGCAUUUACUGCUUCUGUCAAGCAUCAGGCACUAAGCUCAGUCCUUUAUAUAUAUUAUCCCGUCUAACUGUCAUAGUUGCUCUGAGCAUUUUCAUUCUUUAUCUACAUAGGGAAACUGAGGUUCAAGGAGGUUAUAAUUCACUCAACGUUGCAUUGCUAGGAAGGAGCAGAGCUGAGUUUCUUUCAUGGACUUAGUGUCCCUCUCAAAAUCACGUCAACUUCAUUUGAAAAUUAUAAUGAAACUAUUAAAACUAUAAUAUUCUUACUUUUUAUACAAAAUUAUUAUCUUUCUUUUCCAACCAUACUUGUACUUGUUACAACCUCAGAAGGCCUAUAUAAAGUAAAGCGGGGGAGUAGGAGAGCCAGAGUAUUAUCUUUAUUUUAUAGAUGUGCUAUUGGAGCCCUUGGAGGGCGAGUAAAUUACUUAAGGUAAUUUAAAUUUCAUUUUAAAAUUGAAGAUUAACAAAGGUACCUGGACAGUUUAAGGAGCCAGAUUAAAAAGACAUCUUCACUAGGGGACAGUCAGUACUGGAUUUGGAAACUGUCACAGUUUUAAAUACAGUAGUGCCCCCUUAUCUUCAGGGGACAUGUUCCAAGACCCCCAAGGGAUGCCUGAAAUCUCAGAUAGUACCAAACUAUAUAUAUUUGCUAUUUUUUCCUAUACAGUAACAGGCGGAUAGUAUAUACAUCAUGGACACACUGGACAAAGAGAUGAUUCAUGUUCUGGGUGGGAUGGAGUGACAUGGCAUGAGAUUUCAUCACGCUACUCAAAAUGUGAAACUUUUGCAUUAUUUCUGGAAUUUUCCAUUGAGUAUUUUCGGACUGUGGCUGACUGCAGGUAACAGAAACUGUAGAAAGUGCAACUGCAGAUAAGGGGAACUACUGUUCUCCCUCUGAGACACGAUUUGAAGCAAAGGGGCCUGGGCUGAGUGGUGGGAGAUCUGCUUUCUUAGUCUGCCUGGGCAGGUCCUCUGGCUGGCUCACAACUGAAACAUAUCACUGCCCCUUCUAAGACUUGAAUAUUUCACUUACAGAUGAAGAUUGGGAACAGUUGGCUUCUGAGAUCCUUUCCAGCACCAACCCACUUUAAUUCUAUAAACCCAACAUUCCCAAGUAUACCAUGGUCAUCUGUACUUUGCAGGCUCUCUCUAGAAUGGACAAAGGUUAUUCUGCAGUGUGGGCACAGAUGUGGUCCUGUAAUGCAAGAUACUGAAAACCACAUCCCCACCCCUAACCCACAAAUUUCCUCUCUAGGCCUCUUUUAUAGGAAUGUCUUCAGACUACCCCACUGCCUAUCCCACUGACAAUUUAAAGGCAAUAUAACUAACAAGCUCAUCCUUUACCCUCUGUCAAUAUCUCUGCUGCCCAUGGCUGGCUCCCCUGUGCUCUGGCCUCCCUAGUGCAAGCUGACUCAGUCAAUACCCAAGACUUACCAUUUCUACCACUAGGCCCUCUCUUAUAUUGAUUCCCAAUUACACAUUACUUUGUUGACUUCUUUUCAUAUUCCACCCUUUAGAUCCUGAAUUCAUCAUCCUUUGUGUAAUAAAUUCCCAGUUUUCAGAAAAAGUGAAAUGGUCCCCUUCUAUGCCUUCAUGGAGACAGGCUGCAGCUGGAGCCUUUUGGCAGCCAAAAGAGACCCCUUUGCAGCUCUUAACAAUCUGUUACUGAAUAAUUUGAGAGAAUAUUGCUAAUUAUGAACCUGUGUCUUUAGAUACCCAAGUCCUUAAGCUGCAGAGUACCCAGGACAAGGUUCUCCUCCUUGAGCAAGUUACCCUCUCUGCCAUAGUUUCCCCAUCUGUGAAACAGGUAUAAUAAUAGUACCUACCUUACUGUUGAUGUAAAGAAUCAAUUAAUAAUGUAUGUAAAAUGUGUAAAACCACACAUAGAUCAAUAAUGUCAACUAUUACUGUUAUUAUGGUUCAAUAAAUAUUUGACAGUUGGUCACACAGUGUGUUGGCUUCCUGGACUCUUCUUCCCCCUUAACUUUCCUAAAAAGCCAAGCUAUUGAAGUCAUUAUCUUUUUUUGUUUCUUAAAUCACAUUUGAGUUCAUAUGGUGAGCCUUGGCAGAGCCCCCAAAAAUAAUGAAACGAAAGGAAACAUGUCUAAACAGGUCUACAAUUUGGCAUAGCACUGGUUUGGUACAAACCUAUGCAGCCUAGGGAAAUGGAGAAUAUAAUAUCUCCAGUAUGGGUGAGUAGCAGAAACUACCCAGAAACAAGCCAAGUCAAGGGCUCCUGAGGCCAUGGACUGCUAGGUCACAGUGACAAAGGUGGGACCUUUGGAGCUCACCUCUAAAGUUGCCGACGUUCUAUCUCCAGAGGGGUGUAAUGUGCCAGCUGAAGUUAGGACUUGUGGGUGACCGUUCCGGACAUAGCCCAUAACUUGCUGUGUGACUUAGGGCAAAUCAUUUCCAAACUUAGGCCUUAAUUUCCUCUUCUGUAAAGAUUAGGCUGUUUCUAAAGUCCCCUCCACCAUGAAAGUCUGUGGUUCUAUGACCCCAGGGUUCUUCUUACAUUAGAUCAGCUAAGAUUUUGCUUCUCCCCGCUCUGAAAAGCAGUCCCUCCCAGACUAGAAGCAUAUACGUCUUCUUUGGCUACCCUCGCCAUUUGGCAAAAUUAAAAUUUUAAAAAGCAUCUGUCUAAGAGCUCCCCAUAUUUUUCCCCCUUCUUGCUAUGUAAUGCCAUUUGGUGAAAACUUCUUCAAGUAAGUUCCCAGCUGAUCUUAGUAAAUUUCCUUCACAAGAAGUAUUCAUCUCAGAGGUGCUGCCCGAAUAAAA